rnacentral:tRNA from 1 species
AACUCUUAGGUGUAAUACACAUCAGAGUGCAAAUCUGAAGUAGGCUAUUUGCCAGGAGUUU